CUUGAACGCUGGCGGCAGGCCUAACACAUGCAAGUCGAGCGGAUGAAGGGAGCUUGCUCCUGGAUUCAGCGGCGGACGGGUGAGUAAUGCCUAGGAAUCUGCCUGGUAGUGGGGGAUAACGUCCGGAAACGGGCGCUAAUACCGCAUACGUCCUGAGGGAGAAAGUGGGGGAUCUUCGGACCUCACGCUAUCAGAUGAGCCUAGGUCGGAUUAGCUAGUUGGUGGGGUAAAGGCCUACCAAGGCGACGAUCCGUAACUGGUCUGAGAGGAUGAUCAGUCACACUGGAACUGAGACACGGUCCAGACGCCUACGGGAGGCAGCAGUGGGGAAUAUUGGACAAUGGGCGAAAGCCUGAUCCAGCCAUGCCGCGUGUGUGAAGAAGGGCUUCGGAUUGUAAAGCACUUUAAGUUGGGAGGAAGGGCAGUAAGUUAAUACCUUGCUGUUUUGACGUUACCAACAGAAAAGCACCGGCUAACUUCGUG
rnacentral:rRNA from 1 species